GGCGAUGGAACUCAGUGGUAGAGCACUUGCUUAGCAUGCAAGAGGCCCUUGGUUUGAUCCCCAACGCUG
rnacentral:tRNA from 1 species